GCCUCGGCCUCUCCUAUGACCUGUCCCCAACACCAAGGUCCCGUUCUGGACCUCGCCGACCCCUCUCAGUCCUGUGAGAAGAGAUAGGUUGGAAAAACAGAUGGAUGGAAAAGCGAAAGCCCCUAAACCUGGCACCACGGUUUAAGGAACAUGCAGCUCAGGACCUGACUUGUGCAGACUGGAAACUCCCUGAAGUCCUCACCAGAAGCAGAUGCUUGGAGCCAUGCUUGUCAUACAGACUGAAGAACCAGGAGCCAAAUAAAC